rnacentral:ncRNA from 1 species
CGUAUCGGAGAAAUGCAGGAAACUGCGUGAAACUCGCCUGUAAUCCCGGCAUCAUCACACCAGUGAUGUGGCGACUUUUUUGACUGGCUGCUGCGGCGGCGAUUUU